UCGAAUGAACGAACGGGGAGAUUCAUCGUCAUUCCUCGGCGCGCGGGCGCAGGUUCGAUGCUCGGCCCUCCGGGGUCGGGCACUGCCCGAGUCCGCGGCGUCCGGGGACGGCGUGCACUUCUCCCCCAGUAAUACAUCGCGACCCGUUCGAUGUCGGCCUAAGUGCCCCCCGGGAGCCUUCUCGGACCCGCAAGGGUCCGGGUAGACCGGCGGGUGCACCGGCCGGCCGUCGGACGGUAGAUCUGAUGAAACGCUCACGCGCUUGUCGCGUCCGGCCCGACGCAAGGCAACGUCGUAUCUCCCGCGUCCUGCCCGAGUGCGGACGCGGGUGCGGCGCGCCUGUCGUCGCAGCCGUGCUGUCUCGGACCGUGUGCGUAUCUGUCUGCGAUGAUUCAGUUUCGGGCACUCGCAGGACCCGUCUUGA
rnacentral:rRNA from 1 species